GAAAAAGAAUAUAAAUUCAAGAGUAUCCUCAAAACCACAAAUAACUGUAUGAUAUCAAUUUUUCUGAGAGCUCUGGUUUCAACUGAUGUCUUCCCAAGAUCCACAUCAAAAAUCCAGCUUCUCCAGGGUCUCUUGUCCACCAGGAAACUAAUCAGAUUGUCGUGAUUGGGAGUAUUCUUUGAUUCCCCUCUUCUCUAGAUUAUAUCCAUAUAAGGUCUGAUUUGUGUAGGAAACACCUUGUGCUGUUAACAGUCCUAGUGAGUAUGUUUUCCUGAUUCACCAUGACAUCUGCAAUGGUGUAAUCAAAAAGAAUGACAUGGGAGUUUUUUCUCUACUGUAGUGUUCACUGGCUGCCUUCACUUGGUCUUUCCAUGUGAGAAUAAGAACCUUUCUCCUGUCAGGAGACUGAGUUUUUCUUGUUUCUUGGAGCUCAAUGUAAUACCUCAGUGUUUUCAGUUUUGUUUGAUUGUAUGUGAUCAAACUAUGUAUAUUUUUUUGUUACAGGAAUGCUUCUAUAGUUCUUUCAUGGAAAUAUAUUAUUAACUGUUUUCUAAGCUGUCCAAUGCUAACAAAUAUUAUUGUGCAUUUCAUUUCCUGACAGGAUAUAUUAAAAUAUACCCUUAUAAUUAUGUAUUUUCAGAUAAACUUCGCAAUUUUCUUUCACUUAAUCAUUUAUAUUUUAAGUCAAUUUUAUGUACAUACAAGUUCAGGUAUGUUUUCCUCAGGCAAAUUUUAUUUUUUAUUCUUUUGUAGUUACCAUAUUUAUUAUGAAAUUAAUUUCUCAUUUAUUCUUAGUACCAGAUACUAAAAUCAUGUUGUUUUUUUUUAAGCGCCCUCUUGUCAAUGACCUACAGGAUUGCACUUGUAGUCAAAGAGAGGAAUGUAAUGAAUUCUAAUAAGAAUGAGCACAAACCAUUAAGUGAUGUGAGGUAUAAUAGUACAGGAUGCUCAGAAGGACUUCUUCUUAUAGGAGUUUGGCUUUAGAGGAUUUGACUGCUACCCAAGAAAGCAAGACGUUUUUCUGUAUUGGAUGCCGUGAGGAGGAGUGGAAACAUGAAAAAAAGCUGUGGAUGUUUAGAGGCAGUCAUCCAAGGAAUAAUUGAG